rnacentral:rRNA from 1 species
GAUGAACGCUGGCGGCGUGCCUAAUACAUGCAAGUCGAGCGAACGGACGAGACGCUUGCUUUUAUGAUGUUAGCGGCGGAUGGGUGAGUAACACGUGGAUAACCUACCUAUAAGACUGGGAUAACUUCGGGAAACCGGAGCUCAUACCGGAUACUAUUUUGAAACGGAUGGUUCAAAAGUGAAAGACCGUUUUGCUGUCACUUAUUGAUGGAUUCGCGCUGCAUUAGCUAGUUGGUACGGUAACGGCUUACCAAGGCAACGAUGCAUAGCGGACCUGAGAGGGUGAUCGGCCACACGGGAACGGAGAACCGGCCCAGACUCCUACGGGAGGAAGCGGGGGGAAAUCUGCCGCAAUGGGCGAAAGCCUGACGAGGCAACGCCGCGUGGGUGAGGAGGGUCUUCGGUUCGUAAAACUCUGUUAUUAGGGAAAAACAUAUGUGUAAGAAACUGUGCACAUCUGGACUGUACCGAAGCAGAAAGCCACGGCUAACUACGU